ensembl:lncRNA
GGGAAGCCUGGUGGGCUGCCGUCCAUGGGGUCGCACAGAGUCGGACACGACUGAAGCGACUUGGCGGCAGCAGCAGAGGGCAGGACACUUUGGCGGGGUUCCCUGGAAGGGUCAGCUGGGGUUAAGGAUGUCCACUCAGCGUGGACCCUUCCUAUCCACAGGUCACGUGGUGAGUCUGCUCACUCAUGAGCAACACUUCACUGUUUAAAAGGCUCCUCUUGCCUCUCCCCACAAAAAGCCCCCAGAAAGGAGAGAGCAGGUGCCCAGUGGUUAUGGCCUCAGGUGGGGUGACCAGGGCCAGUGUCCUGCCCCCAAGCCUCUCCCGUGAUGAGGGUCUGGCCUCCAACCUCCAGCUGGAGGCCCAUGCUGACAGCCCAUCCUCCAAUCUGGGACAGGUGAUCUGAGGGGCAAGACACUCAGCCGGCUCAGGGCGACGCCAGUUCAACCCAAUUUCCAUCACACAUGAGGAGCCAUUCCUGCCUGUCGCCCACACCUUCGAGGCCGUGUCGUCUGAGAAGCCUCCUGGAGCCUCUGUGCAGCUUCAGGGAGCUCUUUGAUUCUCUGCUGAACGUCCGUACCGCGGGCCCCGCCGUGGGAGCCGUCCCUCCGGAGAGGAGCGGGAGGAAAACCAUUUUGUCGACUCCAGGCAGUCUUCCAGGAGGAGAGCUUAUCCUCAGAGCUCAGAGGUCGUGUGGUCCAAGCUGGUCCUUUGACACAGGGGAGAAGUGAGGCAGAAAAGAAAUUCCCGGAGUCAGUUCUCCAAAAACGGUUUGUGACCACAGUCCGCCCAGGAUCGGACCCAACAGCCCUCCUGGCGGCCUUGCCCAGAUCCGGGGAAGCGGUGUUUCUUCCCAGGGCUGCUGGUGCGGCUCGCGGAGGGGGAGCACCACUGUUUCUGGAGGAAGAGGAGGCCACGGGUGUCCUGGGUAGAAAUAACUCAGGAGCCAGGCUCGCAUCUCAAUAUGGGAUCUUGAGCGACUUGCCCCCGACUCUGACCCUGUGUGGGAGCCCCACCCUCCACCCCAGCCCCAGUGUCCUCGGCUCUGCUGAGGUCUUGGGACCCUUCAGUCUGCACUAACCCACCACACCCUUGACUGUGCGCUGCUUCACAGGGGAACGAGACGGGGCGGGGUGGGCAUUGGUCAGUGAUGAAAGCUGACAUGUUUUCUGGGCCAUGUUUUCGCCUCUGCUGGGUGUGUCUCCAGGAGUGGACUUGUGGGGUCAUGGGGUACCGCUCUGCGGAGUCGACUGGCAUGUUCCCAGCAGCGCAUAACACUGAGUUUCUUUUUAUGUAUUUAUUGGCUGUUUGUAUAUGCUACUUAGAGAAAUGUCCUUUGCCCUGAAAAAAACUGGAUAUUUCUUUUUACUAUUAUUAAGGAGUAAGAGUUAUUUAUAUAUUCUAGAUACAAGCCCCUUGUCGGAGACACGAUUUGCAAAUAUUUUCUCCCGCUCUGCCAGUCGUCUUUUCACUUUCUCGUGUCCUUUGAUGUGCGAAAGUUUUUAAUUUGAAGUCCACAUUGUGUACUUUCCUUCUGUUCCUUGUGCUUUUGAUGUCAUUUCAAAGAGACUCUGGCCUGCUCUGAGCUGAAAAGAUGCACGCCUGUGUUUUCUUGCAAGACUUCCGUAGACAUUUAGGUCUCAGUACAUCUUGAGAUAGUUUUUAACAUGUAGAUAAUCUCUGUGCGUGCGUGUGGCUACCCAGGACCAUUUGUUGCAAAGACUAUUCGUC